rnacentral:lncRNA from 12 species
GUGAGUUUUUGGUUAUUUCAGAUUAGUUUUUGGGGUGCCCAGAGCAGUUUUUGGGUUUCUCACGUCAGUUUUUGGGGUACCCCAGGCCGUUUUUAGGUUUCUCAGUGAUCCCAGGGGGAAUUUUGGGUGUCCCAGGGAGGUUUUUGGGGUGCCCAGGGCAGUUUUUGGGGUUCACAGCUUUUUGGGUUCACCAGUCCGUUUUUGGGGUUCCCUGUGCAGUUUUUGGGAUUCCCCGUGCAGUUUUUGGUUAUUUCAGGUCAGUUUUUGGUUAUUCCCAGGUCGGUUUUUGGUUAUCCCAGGUCAGUUUUUGGUUAUCCCAGGUCAGUUUUUGGUUAUCCCAGGUCAGUUUUUGGGAUGCCCAUUGCAGUUUUUGGUUACCCCAGGUUAGUUUUAGGUUAUCCCAGGUCAGUUUUUGGUCAUCCCAGCCCGGUUUUUGGUUAUCCCAGGUCAGUUUUUGGUUAUCCCAGCCUGGUUUUAGGUUAUCCCAGGUCGGUUUUUUGUUAUCCCAGG